GAGGAAAAGAAACCAACCGGGAUUGCCUCAGUAACGGCGAGUGAAGCGGCAAGAGCUCAAAUUUGAAAGCUGGCUCCUUCGGAGUCCGCAUUGUAAUUUGCAGAGGAUGCUUUGGGUGCGGCCCCCGUCUAAGUGCCCUGGAACGGGCCGUCAGAGAGGGUGAGAAUCCCGUCUUGGGCGGGGUGUCCGUGCCCGUGUAAAGCUCCUUCGACGAGUCGAGUUGUUUGGGAAUGCAGCUCUAAAUGGGUGGUAAAUUUCAUCUAAAGCUAAAUACUGGCCGGAGACCGAUAGCGCACAAGUAGAGUGAUCGAAAGAUGAAAAGCACUUUGAAAAGAGAGUUAAACAGCACGUGAAAUUGUUGAAAGGGAAGCGCUUGCGACCAGACUCGCCCGCGGGGUUCAGCCGGCAUUCGUGCCGGUGUACUUCCCCGUGGGCGGGCCAGCGUCGGUUUGGGCGGCCGGUCAAAGGCCCCUGGAAUGUAGUGCCCUCCGGGGCACCUUAUAGCCAGGGGUGCAAUGCGGCCAGCCUGGACCGAGGAACGCGCUUCGGCACGGACGCUGGCAUAAUGGUCGUAAACGACCCG
rnacentral:rRNA from 1 species